rnacentral:snRNA from 1 species
AUACUUACCUGGCAGGGGAGAUACCAUGAUCAAGAAGUGGUAAGGCUUAUCCACUGCACUCUGGAUGUGCUGACGCCUGUGAUUUCCUCAAAUGUGGGAAACUUGACUAUAUAAUUUGUGGUAGUGGGGGACUCCACUCUCCCCUA